rnacentral:rRNA from 1 species
GAAUCUUAGACAAUGGGGGCAACCCUGAUCUAGCCAUGCCGCGUGAGUGAUGAAGGCCUUAGGGUUGUAAAGCUCUUUCAGCUGGGAAGAUAAUGACGGUACCAGCAGAAGAAGCCCCGGCUAACUCCGUGCCAGCAGCCGCGGUAAUACGGAGGGGGCUAGCGUUGUUCGGAAUUACUGGGCGUAAAGCGCACGUAGGCGGACCGGAAAGUCAGAGGUGAAAUCCCAGGGCUCAACCUUGGAACUGCCUUUGAAACUAUCGGUCUGGAGUUCGAGAGAGGUGAGUGGAAUUCCGAGUGUAGAGGUGAAAUUCGUAGAUAUUCGGAGGAACACCAGUGGCGAAGGCGGCUCACUGGCUCGAUACUGACGCUGAGGUGCGAAAGCGUGGGGAGCAAACAGG